rnacentral:tRNA from 1 species
CAGGGUGUAGUUCAGUUGGUAGAACGCUGGGCUGGGGGUCCAGAAGUCGGCAGUUCAAAUCUGCCCACCCUGA